GCUGGCGGCGUGCCUAAUAAUGCAAGUCGAGCGAACGGACGAGAAGCUUGCUUCUCUGAUGUUAGCGGCGGACGGGUGAGUAACACGUGGAUAACCUACCUAUAAGACUGGGAUAACUUCGGGAAACCGGAGCUAAUACCGGAUAAUAUUUUGAACCGCAUGGUUCAAAAGUGAAAGACGGUCUUGCUGUCACUUAUAGAUGGAUCCGCGCUGCAUUAGCUAGUUGGUAAGGUAACGGCUUACCAAGGCAACGAUGCAUAGCCGACCUGAGAGGGUGAUCGGCCACACUGGAACUGAGACACGGUCCAGACUCCUACGGGAGGCAGCAGUAGGGAAUCUUCCGCAAUGGGCGAAAGCCUGACGGAGCAACGCCGCGUGAGUGAUGAAGGUCUUCGGAUCGUAAAACUCUGUUAUUAGGGAAGAACAUAUGUGUAAGUAACUGUGCACAUCUUGACGGUACCUAAUCAGAAAGCCACGGCUAACUACGUGCCAGCAGCCGCGGUAAU
rnacentral:rRNA from 1 species